rnacentral:rRNA from 1 species
UGGCCAGACUCCUACGGGAGGCAGCAGUGGGGGAUAUUGCACAAUGGGGGGAACCCUGAUGCAGCGACGCCGCGUGGGUGAAGAAGCGCCUCGGCGCGUAAAGCCCUGUCAGCAGGGAAGAAAAUGACGGUACCUGACUAAGAAGCCCCGGCUAACUACGUGCCAGCAGCCGCGGUAAUACGUAGGGGGCAAGCGUUAUCCGGAUUUACUGGGUGUAAAGGGGGCGCAGACGGCAGCGCAAGCCAGGAGUGAAAGCCCGGGGCCCAACCCCGGGACUGCUCUUGGAACUGCGCGGCUGGAGUGCAGGAGAGGCAAGCGGAAUUCCUAGUGUAGCGGUGAAAUGCGUAGAUAUUAGGAGGAACACCAGUGGCGAAGGCGGCUUGCUGGACAGAGACUGACGUUGAGGCUCGAAAGCGUGGGGAGCAAACAGGAUUAGAUACCCCAGUAU